GGGAACCUUAUAGUCGAGGUUCCUUAGAUGAUCCAAAUUUACUUGGAUAACUGUGGUAAUUCUAGAGCUAAUACAUGCCGACCAGCUCCGACCCCUCGGGGAAAGAGCGCUUUUAUUAGUUCAAAACCAGUCGGGUUCUGCCCGUCCUUUGGUGACUCUGGAUAACUUUGUGCCGAUCGCAUGGCCUCGAGCCGGCGACGCAUCUUUCAAAUGUCUGCCCUAUCAAAUGACGAUGGUACGUGAUCUGCCUACCAUGUUAGCAACGGGUAGCGGGGAAUCAGGGUUCGAUUCCGGAGAGGGAGCAUGAGAAACGGCUACCACAUCCAAGGAAGGCAGCAGGCGCGCAACUUACCCACUCCUGGCACGGGGAGGUAGUGACGAAAAAUAACAAUACGGAACUCUUUUGAGGCUCCGUAAUUGGAAUGAGUACACUUUAAACCCUUUAACGAGGAUCUAUUGGAGGGCAAGUCUGGUGCCAGCAGCCGCGGUAAUUCCAGCUCCAAUAGCGUAUACUAAAGUUGUUGCGAUUAAAAAGCUCGUAGUUGGAUCUCAGGCAUGGGCGCGCGGUCCGCCUCGCGGCGGUCACUGUGUGUUUUGUUUCCCAUCCUACGCUUCCCGGUUGUUCAGCCCAUGGUGCUCUUCAUUGAGCGUUUUGGGUGGCCGGAACGUUUACUUUGAAGAAAUUAGAGUGUUCAAAGCAGGCAUGUUGCCUGAAUAAUGGUGCAUGGAAUAAUGGAAUAGGACCUCGGUUCUAUUUUGCUGGUUUUCGGAACACGAGGUAAUGAUUAAGAGGGACAGACGGGGGCAUCCGUAUUGCGGUGUUAGAGGUGAAAUUCUUGGAUCAUCGCAAGACGAACAACUGCGAAAGCAUUUGCCAAGCAUGUUUUCAUUAGUCAAGAACGAAAGUCAGAGGUUCGAAGACGAUCAGAUACCGUCGUAGUUCUGACCAUAAACGAUGCCAACUAGCGAUUCGCUGGUGUUGCUUCAUCGACUCUGCGGGCAGCUUCCGGGAAACCAAAGUUUUCGGGUUCCGGGGGAAGUAUAGUCGCA
rnacentral:rRNA from 1 species